rnacentral:rRNA from 1 species
UAAGUGUAUGGGGAUCUGCCCGAUAGAGGGGGAUAACUACUGGAAACGGUGGCUAAUACCGCAUAAUGUCUACGGACCAAAGCAGGGGCUCUUCGGACCUUGCACUAUCGGAUGAACCCAUAUGGGAUUAGCUAGUAGGUGGGGUAAAGGCUCACCUAGGCGACGAUCUCUAGCUGGUCUGAGAGGAUGAUCAGCCACACUGGGACUGAGACACGGCCCAG